AGAGUUUGAUCAGUGGCUCAGGACGAACGCUGGCGGCGCGCUUAAUACAUGCAAGUCGAACGAGAAGCCAGAGCUUGCUCUGGUGGAAAGUGGCGAACGGGUGAGUAACACGUGAGAAACCUGCCCCAAAGAUUGGGGUAAGCCUUGGAAACGAGGUCUAAUACCAAAUACCUUCUUUUUAACACAUGUUAAAAGAAGAAAUGCUCCGGCGCUUUGGGAUGGUCUCGCGAUCUAUCAGCUUGUUGGUGAGGUAACGGCUCACCAAGGCAUCGACGGAUAGCUGGUCUGAGAGGAUGUCCAGCCACAUUGGAACUGAGACACGGUCCAAACUCCUACGGGAGGCAGCAGUAGGGAAUCUUGCACAAUGAGGGAAACCUUGAUGCAGCGACGCCGCGUGCGGGACGAAGGCCCUAGGGUUGUAAACCGCUUUCAGUAGGGACGAAAGUGACGGUACCUACAGAAGAAGCCCCGGCCAACUAUGUG
rnacentral:rRNA from 1 species